AAUUCAUCAACCCCAGAUGUUCGGAAUUCGUUCCAAGCGUCUUCGUGGUUGGAUAUGGGCCUUUUGCUGUCUUUGAUAGCAAUGGCCUGAAAUUGAAUGUUACGCUCCUUUGGACUGAGAGGUCUUGGGCAAACGCAUGAAUGAGGUAACUCAGCAGUACGUAAGCCUGUUAGACGGAUCAGUGCCUCGUUGGGUAACUCAACUGAUCACCCAGAGUUUGCAGGCGUCAGCCGGCUCAUUCUGAAC
rnacentral:misc_RNA from 1 species